AUUUCCAGGUGAACAACGGCUAUUUUGUUUUAAGAAAAACAGAUAAUGACAAUUUAUUGGAAGAGCAAAAUUUAUCUAUAGCUGCCUUAUCUAAAUCAUUGCAGGUUGAGUCUUUGGAGCAGAUGAAAUAUUUAAUCCGUAAACCGAGGUCAUCAUUCCCAGCAUCUGAAAACAUAACAGACAGUGCCUGGUCUCUGAUGUGGCAUGUGCAAGAGGACACAUUUCCCAGCAUGAAGAUUUACGAAUCUUGGAGGCGUGGCUACUCAGGCGCAGGAAUACAUAUUAGCAUCCUUGAUGACGGUGUUGAACCAGACCAUCCAGAUCUUGUAGGAAAUUAUGUGCGUUC